AGUUUACUAAGCAUACGAGUAUAUCAUAAGAUGGACAGAGACAAUACUAAAGAUAGGGGUAAGAUAAUGAUACAUAAGUAGUGUGACACACAUAAGAAUCAUCUCAAGAUAACUAAGCUAGGGAGAAGGACUAAGAGUUAGCUCUAGGUUCAUAUGUACUUCCUAUAUACUGCACAGAUCAUACAAGCAUAACAUACAUAUACAUUGUAUAGAGAUGAGGCCUAUGCACCUAGGAACACACGGGGAGAUAGUACCCUACCAGUCUGCCAAAGUAGUUACUACUAAUUUACAAACUCUUAUAGCAUACCCGAACAUCGGUGAUACAAAGGACCAACAGGGCUGUCACUACCUGCGGCCUACCCCUAGCAAUCUGUGGGGCAAACUCAUAUCCAAUGAAGCUAAGCAAUCCAAGCACCAUCCUUGCAUUGUUAACAACACUCCAACAAUCCUAGUUAU
rnacentral:lncRNA from 1 species